rnacentral:rRNA from 1 species
ACAUACAGCCAUACUACCCUGAACAAGCCCAAUCCCAUCUGAUCUCGGAAGCUAAGCAGAGUUAGGCAUGGUUAGUACUUGGAUGGGAGACCACCGAGGAAGACCAGGUGCUGUAGGCA